rnacentral:rRNA from 1 species
AGCAGCCGCGGUAAUUCCAGCUCCAAUAGCGUAUAUUAAAGUUGUUGCAGUUAAAAAGCUCGUAGUUGAAUUUCGGGAUCAGUACGCUGGUCGUGCCUCCGGUAUGCACUGGUGUCACUGGUUCCUCCCUUCUGAAGAACCAUCAUGCUAUUAAUUUAGUGUGGUGGGAAAUCAGGACUGUUACUUUGAAAAAUUAGAGUGUUUAAAGCAGGCUCACGCUUGAAUACAUUAGCAUGGAAUAAUGAAAUAGGACGUUGAUCCUAUUUUGUUGGUUUCUAGGAUUGACGUAAUGAUUAAUAGGGAUAGUUGGGGCAUUAGUAUUCAAUUGUCAGAGGUGAAAUUCUUGGAUUUAUUGAAGACUAACUACUGCGAAAGCAUUUGCCAAGGAUGUUUUUCAUUAAU